UGGCAAUGAUGACUAUCUUAGGACACCUUUGGAAUUGCCAUGAAACUAACUCAGAUUCUGAGCCAC